AAUUAAUAAAAUGACAUUUCAUUUUUUGUUAGACUUGUAGAAGACUGCACACUAGCCAUUGUGAGCUGCUAUUGUUACUUCAGAACCUUAGGUCACAGAAGAGGCACAUCUAGUCUAUUCCUGCAUCCCUGUAAUCCGUACUCAAUGAUCUCCAGUUCCUGCUGAGCUGUGGGUUGAAGGGGAGUGAGAAUAAACAGAGUGGCCGAUGAUGUCAACGGAGAAGCGGAAAGCAAAACAACGUUGAAUUCUUUUCUGUCCUAAACCACUUGUUAAGAGCUUGAAAGUUUCACCCUCUGAAGCCACAAAGAGGCCAGUAACCCAGGGAAAUGAAUAUGUUAGCUUAGAGCUUAACAUAAAAUGUUGUACUGGCUCCCUGGACAACAUCAUUCUGGAUUAUCAUCAAGUGCUCUUCACGUCUUAUAUUCCACCAACAGCCAAAAUAAAUGUACCAAGAAACUAACAAUGUUUGCUAUUCAGUCAU
rnacentral:lncRNA from 1 species